AACGAACGCUGGCGGCAUGCCUAACACAUGCAAGUCGAACGAGACCUUCGGGUCUAGUGGCGCACGGGUGCGUAACGCGUGGGAACCUGCCCUUAGGUUCGGAAUCACUCCCCGAAAGGGGUGCUAAUACCGGAUAAUGUCUUCGGACCAAAGAUUUAUCGCCUUUGGAUGGGCCCGCGUUGGAUUAGCUAGUUGGUAGGGUAAAAGCCUACCAAGGCGACGAUCCAUAGCUGGUCUGAGAGGAUGAUCAGCCACACUGGGACUGAGACACGGCCCAGACUCCUACGGGAGGCAGCAGUGGGGAAUAUUGGACGAUGGGCGAAAGCCUGAUCCAGCAAUGCCGCGUGAGUGAUGAAGGCCUUAGGGUUGUAAAGCUCUUUUACCCGGGAUGAUAAUGACAGUACCGGGAGAAUAAGCUCCGGCUAACUCCGUG
rnacentral:rRNA from 1 species